AGGUGCUGGCGAACCCUAGACAGGAAC
rnacentral:piRNA from 1 species